UACGUAGGGCGCAAGCGUUGUCCGGAAUUAUUGGGCGUAAAGAGCUCGUAGGCGGCUUGUCACGUCGAUUGUGAAAGCUCGGGGCUUAACCCCGAGUCUGCAGUCGAUACGGGCUAGCUAGAGUGUGGUAGGGGAGAUCGGAAUUCCUGGUGUAGCGGUGAAAUGCGCAGAUAUCAGGAGGAACACCGGUGGCGAAGGCGGAUCUCUGGGCCAUUACUGACGCUGAGGAGCGAAAGCGUGGGGAGCGAACAGG
rnacentral:rRNA from 2 species